rnacentral:lncRNA from 1 species
AGAUAAUUUAGAAGUCGAGAAAAAGACAAAACUAAAUGCCAUGUAGGACGUGUCUACUUUCCCUUCCCCUUCCACCAUGAUUGUAAGUUUCCUGAGACCUCCACAGCUGUGAUUCCUGUACAGCCUGUGGAACCAUGUGUCAAUUAAACCUCUUUUCCUUAUAAAUUACCCAGUUUCAGAUAUUCUGUUAUAACGGUGUGAGAAUAGACUAAUACAUGUACUGAGGGGAGGGUCUGUUCUAAACAAAGGAGGAAAACCAGAAGAAUAGAGCAUCAGAACUAUUAGAGGAAAUUGAAGAGGCGGAGGAUCAUGGUGGACGGGAGGCAGGAUUAGAUUGCAGCUCCGACUCGGAUGGACAGAGCAGCAUGUGGAGGCUGGCAUCAUGAAUUUUUGCUCCAGAAUGACUGCAGGAAUAUAUCAUGAUACCUGAGAGGACCCCCUGAGGGAAGCAGAUUGCUCCUGCAGGACCCGGGAGACACGCCAAAUACUGUGAGUGUCCAAACUGUGGAAGUGGGAAAGGGAGAUCAUCCUCCCCUCAACACAAACCCACACUGGGGAAACUGAAGGUCUAGAUUAAGAGAGAUUCUGACCUUACCUGGGGCUGAGUCAACUUAGAAAGCUGAGUGCAAUACAGAGGUAGAGGAAGCAGCGGGAAAAGCCUUGGGAGCUCGCUGGGUCCCCUAGCAACUCAUUUUUGCCUGGUCUCACAGGGGUCCUCCAGGAAGGCAACUAGAGGUGCUGAGAAAAGGCCACACAGAGAAGGAAACCUCCAACUAAACUUUGUAACAAUUUGAACUGAUAGAGAAGCCUCCUGGCUAGAACUCAGGGGAGGGUGUGAAUUCGGUGUGCAGACGCCACAGGUGGAGAAAGAAGGAAAGCCAUACUUGAUUUUGCUGCUGGGAGGUGGGUAGCCUGGGGCAAGUUCUCAGUCCUGCUCGCCCACUGCCUGGAAACAGACUCAAUGCUGUUGCGGGGAGCAUGGUGGAAGUGAGACCAGCCCUUUGGAUUGCAAGGGAGCUAAGUGAGGCCGACUUUCCCCCAGUUCCCUGACAACCUGCAUAAUGGAGACAGUCAUAAUCCUCCUAGGAAUAUAACUCCAUUGACCUGGGAACCUCACCCCCAACCCCCACAGCAGUCAUAGCAAGACCUGCCCAAGGGGAGUCUGAGCUCAGACACACCUAGCCCUGCCCCCAGCUAAUGGUCCUUCGCUACCCAUCCUGGUAACAAAGGGUAUAUACUCUUGCAAGUUGUAGGGCCCUGCCCACCACCUGUUCCUCCUUUUAUAACCACAGCUGAUGCUCUCUGGAGAGCCCCACUUCCUGGCAGGAGGCCAACCAGCACAAAAAUCAUGCAUUAAACCACCAAAGGUAAGAACCUUCACAGAGUCCAUUUCACUCCCCUGCCACCUCCACCAGAACAAGUGCUGGUAUCCACGGCUGAGAGUCCCACUGAUGGUUCACAUCACAAGACUCUGGGUAGAAAACCCCCAAUACCAGCCUGGACCUUGAUAGACUUGCUGGGUGGCUAGAUCCAGAACAGAGAUAACAGUCACUUCAGCUCAGCUCUCAGGAAGCCACAUCCAUAGGAAAAGGGUGAGAGUACUAUAUCAAGGGAACACCCUGUGGGGCAAAAGAAUCUGAACAACAGCCUUCAUCCCUAGACUUUCCCUCUGACAGAGCCUACGCAAAUGAGAAGAAACCGGAAAACCUAUUCCGGUAAUAUGACUAAACAAGGUUCUUUAACUCCCCUACCCGCCCAAAAAAUAAUCACACUAUCUCACCAGCAAUGGAGCCAAACAGAAAAGAAAUCCCUGAUUUACCUGAAAAAGUAUUCAGGAGGUCAAUUAUUAAGCUAAUUAGCGAGGCACCAGAGGAAGGUGAAGCCCAAAGUAAGGAAAUACAAAAAAAAAAAAAAAAAAAAUGACAGAAGUGAAGGGAGAAAUAUUCAAGGAAAGAGAUAGCAUAAAAUAUAAAUCAAAACUUCAGGAAACAAUGGACACACUUAUAAAAAUGCAAAAUGCUCUGGAAAGUCUCAGCAAUAGAAGUGAACAAGUAGAAGAAAGAAAUUCGGUCUCGAACACAAGGUCUUUGAAUUAGCCCAAUCCAACAAAGACAAAAAAGAAUAAGAAAUGUGAACCAAGCCUCAAAGAAGUCUGGGAUUAUGUUAAAUGACCAAACCUAAAAAUAAUCAGUGCUCUUGAGGAAGAAGAGAAAUCUAAAAGUUUGGAAAACAUAUUUGGGGGAAUAAUCUAAGAAACCUUCCCUGGCCUUGCUAGAGAUCUAGACAUUCAAAUACAAGAAGCAUGAAGAACACCUGGGAAAUUCAUCGUAAAACUAUCAUCGCCUAGGGAGAUUGUCAUCAGGUUAUCUAAAGUUAAGAUAAAGGAAAGAAUCUUAAGAUCUAUGAGACAAAAGCAGCAGGUAACCUCUAAAGGAAAACCUAUCAGAUUAACAGCAGAUUUCUCAGCAGAAACCCUACAAGCUAGAAGGGAUUGGGGCCCUCUCUUCAGCCUCCUCAAACAAAACAGUUAUCAGCCAAGAAUUUUGUAUCCAGCAAAAAAAUAAGCCUCAUAUAUGAAGGAAAGAUACAGUCUUUUUCAGACAAACAAAUGCUGAGAGAAUUUGCCACUACCAAGCCACCAAAACAAGAACUGCUAAAAGGAGCUCUAAAUCUUGAAAGAAAUCCUGAAAACACAUCAAAACAGAACCUCUUUAAAGCAUAAAUCUCAUAGGACCUAUAAAACAAAAAUACAAUUUAAAAAACAAAAAAACCCCCAAAAAUCCAAGGUAUACAGGUAACAAAUAGCAUGCAUGGAAUGGUACCUCGUAUCUCAAUACUAACAUUAAAUGUGAAUGGCCUAAAUGCUCCAUUUAAAAGAUACUGAAUUACAGAAUAGAUAAGAACUCACCAACCAACCAUCUGCUGCCUUCAGGAGACUCACCUAACACAAAAAUACUCACACAAACUUAAAGGGGUGGAAAAAAGGCAUUUCAUGCAAAUGGACACCAAAAGUGAGCAGGGGUAGCUAUUCUUAUAUCAGACAAAACAAAUUUUAAAGCAACAACAGUUAAAAAAGACAAAGAGAGACAUUAUAUAAUGAUAAAAGGCCUUGUCCAACUAGGAAAAUAGCACAGUCCUAAACAUAUAUGCACCUAACACUGGAGCUCCCAAAUUUAUAAAACAACUACUAAUAGACCUAAGAAAUGAGAUAGCAACACAAUAGUAGUGGGGGACUUCAAUACUCCAUUGACAGCACUAGACAAGUUAUCAAGACAAAGUCAAAAAAGAAACAACGGAUUUGAACUAUGCUGUGGAACAAAUGGACUUAACAGAUAUAUACAGAACAUUACAUCCAACAACAGCAGAAUAUACAAUCUAUUUAAGAACACAUGGAACUUUCUCCAAGAUAGACCACAUAAUAGGCCACAAAAUGAGCCUCAGUAAAUUUAAGAAAAUUGAAAUUAUAUCUAGCACUCUCAGACCACAGUGGAAUAAAACUGGGAAUCAACUCCAACUUCAAAACCAUGCAAAUACCUGGAAAUUAAAUAACCUGCUCCUGAAUAAACAUUGGGUCAAUAAUGAAAUCAAGAUGGAAAUUAAAAAAAUUCUUCAAACUGACAACAAUAGUGACAUAAACUAUCAAAACCUGUGGGAGAAAGCAAAGGUGGUGCUAAGAGGGAAGUUCAGAGCCCUAAACACUUGCAUCGAAAAGUCUGAAAGAGCACAGACAAUCUAAGUCUACACCUCAAGGAACUAGAGAAACAAGAACAAACCAAAUCCAAACAUAGCAGAAGAAAGGAAAAAAACAGGAUCAGAGCAGAACUAAAUGAAACUGAAACAAAAAAUAUGAAAGAUAAAUAAAACAAAAAGCUGGUUCUUUGAAAAGAUAAAUAAAAUUGAUAGACCAUUAGGAAGAUUAACCAUGAAAAGAAGAGAGAAAAUCCAAAUAAGCUCAAUAAGAAAUGGGAGAUAAUAUAACUGAUAUCACAGAAAUACAAAAGAUCAUUCAAGGUUACUAUGAACACCUUUACAUGCAUAAACUAGAAAACCUAGAAGAGAUGGAUAAACUCCUGGAAAGACACAACCCUUCUAGUUUAAAUCAGGAAGAAGUAGAUACCCUGAACAGACCAAUAACAGCAAGAUUGAAGUGGUAAUUAAAAAAAUUACCAACAGAAAGAAGUCCAGGACCAGACAAUUCUAUCAGACAUUCAAAGAAGUCUUGAUACCAAGAAAAAGAGGGAUCCCUUCCUAAAUAAUUCUAUGAAGCCAACAUCACCCUAAUACCAAAACCAGGAAAGGAUAUAGCCAAAAAAGAAAAUAUAGACCAAUAUCCCUGAUGAACAUAGUUGCUAAAAAUCCUUAACAAAAUACUAGCUAACAAAAUCCAACAACAUGUCAAAAAGAUAAUAUCCAUAAUGAUCAAGUGGGUUUCAUACUAGGGUUGCAGGGAUGGUGUAAUAUAUACACGUCCAGAAAUGUGAUUGUAGCUCACUGCAGCCUCGAACUCCUGGGUUCACACAGUCCUCCCACCACAGCCUCCCAAAACACUGGGAUU